UCCGAACACCAGUUUCUCAAACCCUUCGUCUCCUCUCUCUCUCUCUCUCUCUCUCUCUCUCUCCCCCGAGACAUGGUGGCAUCGUCCUCAUCGUUGUCUGAGUACUCCUCGGACUCCUCCUUGUCAUCUUCGUCUGCAUCUCGCCGUCGACAUCGUCGCCACAACCGCAGUCGCCGAGACAAAGACCAGGAGAAAGACAAAGAUGCCCUCAAGAUACGAAAAAAGAUCAGUCGUUCCAACACCAAACGACGCCGCAGACACCGCCACCGCUACUCCUCGUCGGAUUCUUACUCUUCCUCCUCUCCUUCCGAUUCCAGAAGUGAUAGUUCUUCGGACAGUGAGCUUGAAACAUCUAGUAAGUCAAAGAAGCGCAAGAAGAGUGACAGACAUAAGAAGAGCAAGGAAAAGGACCAGAGCAAGAGUCAUCGCCAUAAACAUCAAAGGAAACUCAAAGAGUACUUUCUGCCUGUUUUAUGGAUUGGCUCUUCCAAAAUUGGAGCUGGGGUCUGUGGCAUGGUGCUGGGUACUUAUUGGCUUGCCUGGAUAAUGUGUCUGGAUUGUGUUUUUUCCUGGCAAUGGGAGCCAUAUAUAGAAACAGAAGAAUGAGAGAAGUAGCGGCCCUGUUCAGCUUUCAAAGUUAUUGGGGCGUGACAAAGAUGAUGGAGUUCGUCGCAGUGCUGUCUCUGGAAAAAAGAUUCUACUGAAACUUGAGAAGACAAAGGAGGACAAGGCGGCUGAAGACAAAAGGAAUGAAUUGCUGAAGUUCUUAAAUGCUAGUUUUGAUUGAUGUUGUGGAGUCCAUGCAUGGAAUCAACAAGUGAAUGAAGGAGUUGAGUAAGUUCCAGCUACUCGCUUAUAUCUUAAUGAUUUUGAAAUGAUUUUCUCCGAGUUCGAAGCGCAGUCAUAUCUUGUACUUGUGUUUGCCAAUUAGAGUGGUUGAAAAGCUGUGGUUUGGGCGUUGUAUUAGUAUUCAUUUGGUACUUGUCAUUAUAUAUUAUUUUAUAUCGAGGAUUCACCGAAGUAAGCUUUCAAAUUUGAUCAAUGUAGCAAACUUAUUAACUCUCCUUGAUGAUUUGCCUGUGCAGCAUGCUACCAACGAGAUUAAUUGAUGUAUUUGUAAGGAG